rnacentral:lncRNA from 1 species
AUGCAGGAAGCAUGGACGUCAGGCCCGGCAGCCAUUAGGGGUGUGCUGGAAAUGUGUCCAAGCCCGCACCUCCCUUCCUGCUGCUCCCAGGGAGAAGGCAGCCUAUGGGCGAGCUGGAGGCAGCAGGGCCGGGCCAGCCACAUGGGGAGCCGGGAGCCCGCUCACAGCUGCCUUCUCACGACGCCUUGCCGUCCGCCAGGGGGCGCUGCCAGGGCUGGGAUUCCUACAGCCAGGUCAGGAAGAGCCAGGGCGGCAGGUGUCUUGAGUGGAGCGCCGCCUCUCACUGGGGUUGGACGAGAGGCCGGGAAAAACCAGCGAGCAGGAGCAGGCAAACCCAACACGGGCUUUCUCAGUAAGUUCUCUUGGAGCCGUCUGGAGCCACAAGGCGUCGUCCCACUAACUCGGAGAAAUGAACCCCUCCCGGGGGCAGGAAGAAACACUUUCCCUGGACCCACAGUGAAGCCGCCUGCGUGCAGCAGUGACUCAGGUGUAGUGGGGUGGCUACAGCAGCCUCUGCCUAAAACGGCGCUUUCAAAGCCCCAGAAACAAACUGUACCGUCGGUCUUGGAGCCACCAAACCCAGGGCUCAAGAGUCCAGCAGGGUGUGCGAAACAUCGGAGCCGCUGGAGGGCAGCAGAGAGCGCCCCAACCCCCAGCACAUUCCCCCACGAAGAAUCACAGCACAGCGCUGACUCCAGGUUUCACUUUAAUAGAAUACUCUUAACUAUUCUGUACAAACUGAAAACACUGUAUCGAGUUACAAAUGUUCUAAGGUUAGGCUGUGCGGACACGGCCAUCCUCGGCUGCCAGAGUGCGCCAUCACCCAGUGGAAACCCCACCCGCCAGCCGCCAACAGGGCACACCAAAGCCAGGACCCUCAGACAGGAUGAAUGGUGGGGCCGAGCAAUGCGGCUACUGAGAAAGCGGGACUUGACGCUCAUACGCUCAAGUGAAACAGGCUGCCCAGCCCAGUCCCCCGCCGGAGACGACCACCGAAUGCCGGCUCCGGUGGCAGGGUGGGGCCUGACGGGCUCGUCUUCAGCCCUGGUGGCAGGGAGCAACGUUUCUUCUGCACAGGCCUCACUCCUGCUACGAAGUGGCACAUCUUCCUGCCCAGGUCACCGAGGUGGUUCAGAAACGGUAAGGACGAGUGACAGCGAAAGGCCACAGUCCUCACAGGUAAGAAGGGAUCAAUAA